GAGAGGGUGGGCUGAGGAGGUAACGUACAGGGAGAUGCACUACUGCCUUUCUCUCAGGCACACAGAACAUGUAUGGUCAGGCAGGAAGGCUACUACUGCUGCCUCAGUAGCUGUCAUAGUGACCCAAGGAAUGGAAGAGACAAUGAAGGUGACUGGAUGUGGAAGCUGCAGGAUGUACAUUAUCCUGGAGUGGGUACCUGAAAAGCGCUUUGUUUGAAUGAAGUGCCAAAGCUGAUGGAAGAGACAAUCCAAGGUUUGGAGAUGGAGCUUUCACACAUUGGUCCCUGAGACGGAUCCACACCAAUUUUAGUAUACCUGGAAGAAAGCCAAACGUGUAAGAAGAUCAGACACGUAGCUGCCCAGGGGUUUCAACGAUG